rfam:Helianthus annuus linkage group 9, whole genome shotgun sequence.
AUGUCGUGAUGUGGGCAAUUAUUGAGUAACAUUUUAAAUCGGUUGAACCCUUCAUGAAACAGUUCACCAGUCUGUUGUUGGAAGUUUUUGAUAUCUUUCCGAGCAU